GGUGGAGUCGCGUAGUGGCCGAGCGCGCACGCCUCGAAAGCGUGUGACGGUGCAAGCCGUCCGUGGGUUCAAAUCCCACCUCCACCGCCA
rnacentral:tRNA from 1 species